rnacentral:tRNA from 1 species
AGUAGCGUGGCCGAGUGUUCUAACGCGCUGGUUUUAGACACCAGUCAUUUCGUUGACGUGAUUUCGAAUCCCACCGCUGCUG